AUUCCUAUUUUGAUAAAUGUCUUCUUUCUGAAUUGGAUUUUGUCCAAAUCUUCAGUCAACUAUUUAUAAAAAAACACUUUUCGGCAGAAGAUAAGUUCUGUUACAAUUACAUUGUACAUUGGUCCAAAGUGGUCACCAGCAAAUACUCAUACAAGUUUUCUUCUGUAAAAUCUCCUCUCUGCGAGACUAUGUUCAGGUGUGGUGCUGAAUGUAGUUGUUGAGUGUUUCUUUGGAAUGUGUAGUAUCACUUUUCUUGGAGGUUGUUUAUUUUGCUGAUGGAGAACUUUUCUGUAAUACAUGGAUUUGAUGGAAGCUCUUUUGAACAGUAUUACAUAAUCGGAAUUUUGAAAACAGGUUUCAUAAGUGACACAUUCAACAUAUCACGGUUUUAGAAGCCGUGCAUAUAUCUUCAGCCCAUCUGUUGGCUUCAAAGUUGGUCGACAAGGGAGAUUCAAGCCUUGAUACAGGUCUGCUAGUAUUCAAUUUCUUG